GAUGAACGCUGGCGGCGUGCCUAACACAUGCAAGUCGAACGAAGCACCUUACCUGAUUCUUCGGAUGAAAGUUUGGUGACUGAGUGGCGGACGGGUGAGUAACGCGUGGGUAACCUGCCCUGUACAGGGGGAUAACAGCUGGAAACGGCUGCUAAUACCGCAUAAGCGCACGAGGAGACAUCUCCUUGUGUGAAAAACUCCGGUGGUACAGGAUGGGCCCGCGUCUGAUUAGCUGGUUGGCAGGGUAACGGCCUACCAAGGCAACGAUCAGUAGCCGGUAUGGGAGGAUGAACGGCGACAUUGGAACUGAGACACGGUCCAAACUCCUACGGGAGGCAGCAGUGGGGAAUAUUGCACAAUGGGGCAAACCCUGAUGCAGCAACGCCGCGUGAGUGAAGAAGUAUUUCGGUAUGUAAAGCUCUAUCAGCAGGGAAGAUAAUGACGGUACCUGACUAAGAAGCGCCGGCUAAAUACGUG
rnacentral:rRNA from 1 species